AUUAUCUUCAUCAGUUAUACAAUAUACUGCAUCUAAAAACAUCUUCGAGACACCACGAAAGGCUUUAACAGUUCUUUUUGAUUCUGAUGAGGUUUCUCACUAAAGGACCUUUUUUAGUAUAUCUACUUUGAACUUUUUACAAAAGUAAAAACAAUGAUAUUUUUAAAGAGCACCUGAAAAAUUAUAUUCUUCAGUAUUCUCAAGUUGCUCUUCCUUCAGACAGUUGGCACUUCUUUUAAAUUUUCAAAACUAUUUGGAACCUUCGUCUGAUAAUCUGCUCGAUGAAUUAAAGGUACCUGCAAAGUAUGAUCCGCAAGUUCUGUAUAACUUAACACAAUAUGGCGUUCACAGUAGAUCAGGGUGUGAAAUGAUCAACACAGAGUUACGGACGGUUAAAAAGGUUUUAUGCGUUAUUGUUUGCAUAUACUAUUUGUUAGACCUCUCUUAUCCAUCUUCUUUUUCACAACUGAUGGGUCUUUUUCAUGAGGUGUUGCUAAACGAAUGCUUUGAAAAAAAAUCAAAAAAGACUUGCUCUUAUAUUGCUCAUAUAAACAGUUAACUAAAUUUUUUGAUGUCUUUAAGUAACGCUAGUUGUUUUCUUUAUUAA